GUACAAAGCAAACUUCUAAUGCACUGCUGGUUUACAUUUCCUGUAUUUUCAGUCUAAACAAAAAUAAAAAGAACAAAACAGCUAAAAUGAUGAGGGAAAGCACAGAUCAUUCCUAAACAGUCAAUUCUAGAGCCAGUCCUUCAGUUCAAGAAUAACUCAACAGCCUAGAGAGAAGAAAAUAAGAAGCUAUAGUGAACAAAAGAAGAAAAAUGAAAAGGUGACCACCAGGAGAAUGAAGUAUAUUGGAGAAAGCAAUCUGAUGUUCAGAAAACUUACAUAACUAGUUCAAGAAUAUGCAGACCCAGACACUCUCCAGACUUGAUCCCAAGAGCUACAAUUCUUUCUACUACUCCCCACAGGAAAAAGUGAAAUCAGCCCUAGUA
rnacentral:lncRNA from 1 species